rfam:Triticum aestivum genome assembly, contig: Triticum_aestivum_CS42_TGACv1_scaffold_225341_3B
CUACUACUCCCUCCGUCCGAAAAUACUUGUCAUUGAAAUGGAUGUAUCUAGAUGUAUUUUAGUUCUAGACACAUCCAUUUUCAUGACAAGUAAUUCCGGACGGAGGGAGUAUUAU